UUGCCCCAAGAGGGAAACGGUGAGCGUCAGCAAUGACUGCCCAAAUCAUGCUGUCAAGAGUUGUGAUCUGCGCUUUAGAGCUGAAAAACUCAGACCGCGUUAAGGCGCUUUCUGAAAGUCACGCAGUUAAUGAGUCCACAGAGCGAGGGUCCAGGGGCACACGUGUCCGGUGCACGUCACCCCUUCAGGAAGCCGUUCUACGGAGACGGGUCUUACUAGCUUCCAGGGAACUUCAGAUGCUGACGAGUGAAAAGCUUGACCCGCACUUUCACAAAGCUAACUUUGUGAGAAGAUGUUUCUUUCUUCUCUCCUCACAACAGCCUGUUGGGUUUUCAUAAAAGAAAGAAGAACAGAAAAACCCCAAAAGAAAGAGGAAAGGAGAGAAGUUAAAAAGAAAAGGGAAAAUAAAACCCCGCCGGGCCUUCCGCCCACCCAGCCCGUCCCACCGUCCGCCCGCGUGGCGGGGCUUCGCUUGCGUUCCCACCGGGUGGUGGUUUCCAUUCACAGGACCAGGUCACCGGUGUGCGAUUUAAGCUGCGUGCUUGCUCUUGCUUAUGUUUGCUCUCUGCUCGAUCACAUGCCCUGCCUUCAUCCUUGGAAUGUUCCCGUGACAGUGGAUGACCAGCGGUACAGGGAGCCUGACAAAGGGACGGACCACGGACGCAGCCGCCUCCUCCCAAAACCCCACCCGGGAAGGCAGAGGGAUGAGAGUGUGUGUGUGUGUGUGCCCACUCUGCAGGUGAGGAGACUGGGGCUCAGGGAGGUUAGACAUUGUUCAAGGUUACAUGUCUCGAGCCAGAUUAAAACAAGCUGCUGCUGUUUUCCAGAGUCGUAACUUCAGACCCCCUCGCCCCCUCCCCAGCCUUCCCUCUGCCUCCCGCUCCUGGUCGCCUGCCCUUAAGUGGAUCGUGUCGGCAGACGCAGGGGUGGCUCCACCCGUGACCCCUCGCACUCCUGCCCCCUCACGGGCACAGAGCAGGUGCGGUCCUUCCCCACCGAGAGCACAGGUGAGGCAGCGACCCCGCCGCUCAGGCUGCCGGCCCUGGACGUGGUCGUCCUCCCAACACCUUAGAAGAAAUGCUUCUCGGGCCUCAGAGCUCGUCCUGAACAAACCCGAGAUCCAUAAUGAGCUCUGGAAAGAGGCAUGAGUGUAGGAGAAGUCUGUCCACACUGCUGGGCCAAGCCUCCGGACAAGCACGAGGAGACCCAGCAGUGUUUUUGUUUUAAUCCCGAAGAAGGAAAAACCACCUUUGAUUAGAUUAGAUAUGCUUUGAGUAGGGCCCGAAGUCCUCAGCUUUAAUGUGCAUGAGAUCUGAAACUCAAGAUGUUUUUAGAGGCUUUGAGAGCGGUCCUGACAGCACGUGACACCUGCUUUCUCGGUCCGCGGGCGGACGAGGGCCGGGCAGCGGAGAGGGGCUCCCUGACGUGGCUGCGGCCCGGCCCCGGGGGUAGUGGGAAGGGCACGGGCCGGCACUUGCCAGCGGCUCCCGUUCUCCAUCAAACACGCACGCUCAGAGGGCGCAUGUCUGCCACUCCCUCACCUGCGUGACGGGAAAUGUUGUCUCCCACCCCUGGAACGAACGCCACGACUGAAACGGGAAGGUGACCUCGGGAAGAAGCUGGCGGUGGACGCUGACCCCACAGCCUUGAACCGACAGCCACUUAGAGGGGACACAGGCGCCACUCCAGGGCUCGCACACGGGCAGGCGUCCUCGCCUCAUCCCUACCAAGUGGCUGCAGAAUUUCCCUGUUGCAGAGUUUCUGAGAGAAUUGUAGACCCGAGAGCUGGAAGGGGCCUCGUGAGCUGGUGCGAGCCCCUUUCCUUCCAGCGAGGGCAGAUCUGUGCCUCCUGCUUUGUGAACGAGGUGACUGCGGUGCUGAGGCUGGUGGUUGCUGUGCCGACGUGACCAGCAGGCGACGCUGGUGUGGAGGCUGAUCCUUGCCUUCUGUUACCCCAAACUGCUUUUCACAUGUAGAAGAUGCCACCAUCAUGCAGAGUAUGAAUCA